CUGAUGGGCAAUCGGGCAUCAAAGUCCAUCGAUAUGAAACCUUAAUCGAAGAGUCCCAAACCAGUGGGACUCUUGACCCCGGUACCCAAAAUGUGUGAAACUCGUGAUCAGAGAAUUCUGAUUCUCAAUCACAGAGUCCUCGACACAUAGGACUCAGAGUCUCCAAGCAUUAGGACUCUUGGUCGAAGAGUCCCAGUCCAGUGAGACUCUUCACCAGCCAUC
rnacentral:lncRNA from 1 species